rnacentral:lncRNA from 1 species
AUGCUGCAACGACCCCCUAAGGAUGAAAUCAACAAGAAAAGAUGGAGAGAAAGAAGACUAAAAGCUGCAUCCUUUGUUUAUAAGCUGAAUCCCUGCUGUGAAAAACAGAGCAAGGAAAAAUACAGGAUCUCAUUUUUCUCUACAGCCUUACAGGCAGGAUCUUCAGACCAGCUUCUAGCACAAGACCUUCCCCCACCAACCUCUACUUUCUUUGGAAGAAUGAGAUCAAUUAAUUUCCAGUUUCUUGAAGCCAAACCCUGCCCUUCGAUUGAAAAUUUUAGUGUWAAACUCUUAGCUCUCAGUUAAGACUUGUUAUAUCCUUGAUGGCAGUCAAACUGGCAUUUCCCAUGUAAGUAACAUUUUGUUUGUAUAACAUUCAAGUUUUUGUGGGCGUAUCUGCACAAAGUAGGAACAUUCUUGAUUCCCAACUUACUGUUUAUGACUGUUCAUCUCGUAUUAUUCCUCCUCUCUACAAGUUAGAACACUCCUCCUUUUAAUGAGUCAAAUACAGUAUGUUUGGAGAAAUCAAGCACUCACCAAGAAUAUCAAACACCAAGUCAAAAGCUGACUGGAACAUGCUGCUUGAAAAUCUUUCUUGCAAUAAAUGACUUUUGCUGCUAGUGAGCA